rnacentral:rRNA from 1 species
UAUCUCUGUAGAGUCUGCAUAUCAAUAAGCGGAGGAAAAGAAACUAACAAGGAUUCCCCUAGUAACGGUGAGUGAAGCGGGAAGAGCUCAAAUUUGAAAUCUUCAAGGUUUGACCUUGACGAAUUGUAGUUUAAAGAAGUGUUUUCGGUUAGAGGAGUAGUAAAAGUUCUUUGGAAUAGGACAUCAUAGAGGGUGAGAAUCCCGUAUUUGACUAUUCUUUCUAGCUUUGUGAUACACUUUCAAAGAGUCGGAUUGUUUGGGAAUGCAGUCCAAAAUGGGUGGUAAAUUUCAUCUAAAGCUAAAUAUUGGCGAGAGACCGAUAGCGAACAAGUACCGUGAGGGAAAGAUGAAAAGAACUUUGAAAAGAGAGUUAAACAGUACGUGAAAUUGUCAAAAGGGAAGCGUUUGACACCAGUGUUGUUUUUCCGAAAAUCAAUUAAAAAUUGAUUCAUGCCAGGUUGUAUUGACCUUAUCAGCUUGCAAUUUGGUUUUGGGUCUCUUUUUGAUGCACUUUUCGGUUAACAAGUCAACAUCAAUUUCCUUUGCUGUAAAAAGGUAAGAGGAAGGUGGCUUCAAUUUCGGUUGAAGUGUUUAUAGCCUUUUAUCUCUGCAGUCGGGGAGAUUGAGGUCUGCAGCGUAGAUCCUUCGGGGCUAGAUACAUUUAUGCUAAGUUAUAGCUUUUCAUAGACAACUUGUUGACUAUGUUUAGUCAUGUAGCUUACUCGUAAGUGCUAUUUUACCUACGCUUAGGAUGUUGAAGACUCUACAGAGAUA